rnacentral:lncRNA from 1 species
UUUCAUCCACUUCUUGAUUUGGGUUGUGCCUCUUCAUGUCAAAUAAUAUUUACAUCAUAGAUAUACAUUCAGUCCAGAUUCAAUGCCAAUAUAAAAUAAAUUUAAACUAAACAUAAUGGCAAGCCAAAUUCUCACCAAAAUCACGAGUACAACAAAAUUCACAGAAAAAACGGCAUUACAACAAAGUCCUGCACCUCCCUAGAUCCAGCAUGCAUUUCUUUUUCCAACUUCUUCAUCCUAGAGAUCAGGAGGAAACAUGAAUAAAGUCCCUGCAAAUUAAAUUGGAAUAUGCAUCAGCGGGUAGCUAAAGUGAAACAAAUUAAUACGAUUUUGUUAGUUAAACUGAGAGGAACUGAAAACUGGAAAGCUUAAUUCCUAGAUUCAUGUGUGGAGUUAUUACAGUAUACAAGUAGUAGUACAAGGACUGACUAACUACAUGUAUACACGCUGCUGGUCAUGAACAUUCAUACAUACUUCAUACAUUCAUGUGUGGAGUUAUUACAGUAUACAAGUAUUAUUACAAGGACUGACUAACUGCAUCUAUACACGUUCUGCUGGUCACGAAAAUUCAUACAUAUUUCAUACAUUCAUGUGUGGAGUUAUUAGAGUAUACAAGUAGUAGUACAAGGACUGACUAACUGCAGCUAUACACGUUCUGCUGGUCAUGAAUUGCUGCUACAAGUGACUCAAUAUGAUACAAUAACACAAAGUAGUGAAGUUGUGCAAAAAAAAUCUAAUAACACCUAAUAACUAUGCAUUUCAUCUCAACUCUGAACAGUGUUGUGCUAUGAAAAAAAGUUACAUUGUGAUGGGUACCAUAGCUCCUUCAGCCUAAUAGCCACACUAGCCAGAUUUGCAACAUUUACAUUGUACAACCAACAGGUAGUUAUCAACAUUUUUUAGCACUUGUGAGCAAAAAAGAGAGCGAAUUCUCACUGUCAUGAGUUCUGCAUUACAUAAAGAUCUUAUUUUUUUCAUUGGCAUUAUCAACAGCAGCUUUAAGACAAAAGGAGAUUAGCAAGUGGGCUUAGGCAGAGGAAAGUGCUACCUGCAGGGAGCUUCGCGGAUAGUGUUGCGUGAUCUUGCCCGUGCCCGUCGAGGUCCUCGUCAUCCUCGGAGGAGGUCGCCAUCCUCAUUGAUGUCGUGC